GGGUAACCUACCUAUAAGACUGGAAUAACUCCGGGAAACCGGGGCUAAUGCCGGAUAAUAUGCGGAACCGCAUGGUUCUGCAAUGAAAGACGGUCUUGCUGUCACUUAUAGAUGGACCCGCGCCGUAUUAGCUAGUUGGUAAGGUAACGGCUUACCAAGGCAACGAUACGUAGCCGACCUGAGAGGGUGAUCGGCCACACUGGAACUGAGACACGGUCCAGACUCCUACGGGAGGCAGCAGUAGGGAAUCUUCCGCAAUGGGCGAAAGCCUGACGGAGCAACGCCGCGUGAGUGAUGAAGGUCUUCGGAUCGUAAAACUCUGUUAUUAGGGAAGAACAAGUGCGUAGGUAACUAUGCGCACCUUGACGGUACCUAAUCAGAAAGCCACGGCUAACUACGUGC
rnacentral:rRNA from 1 species